rnacentral:rRNA from 1 species
AACGUAGGUUCCGAGCGUUAUCCGGAUUUACUGGGCGUAAAGCGCGUUCAGGCGGUUUGGCAAGUCGGGCAUGAAAUCCCUCGGCUCAACCGGGGAACUGCGUCCGAUACUGGUGGGCUCGAAUCCGGGAGAGGGAUGUGGAAUUCCAGGUGUAGCGGUGAAAUGCGUAGAUAUCUGGAGGAACACCGGUGGCGAAGGCGGCAUCCUGGACCGGUAUUGACGCUGAGGCGCGAAAGCCAGGGGAGCAAACGGG